CAGGACUCUAUAGAUGUGAUGUAAGUGGUGUAAAUGGCACCAGGAUUGCUACCUGGAAUUUAACUGUGUCUGAGAAACCUGAAGAAACGACUGAUUUCCACUCGCGGUAUCUUCUAUACAUACUCACAACUGUAACUGGAUUGCUCCUGUGUGGCAUCACUUCAGCUGUCUGCCUCUGCAGAGAAUGCUGCACCAGGAAAAGAAACAAUAUGACAGCAGGACCCUGAGUUAUACCCAGUAUUGUGUUCAGUUGGGAGAAAAGGUGGCUCCUCCUCUCCCAAGAAGUUGUGCAGAAUACAGACUAAUCACAAACAGACGCAGUCAGCCCUUUGAGAGUUAAAUGCAUGGCCUCCACUGAGCUGACAAAUAAGUUCAGAUCAAAGCUGAACAAGUGACAAGAGAUAUUUUGGACAGAAAGUAAAAGAGAGAGGACAUAUUUAAAAAUAAAUGAAACCAGCCCAUAGAAUGAUAUAACAAAUAAAUAAAUACAUACAUGUUUUUUGUUAUCAAAAUAACACGAGGUAAUGUUUCAAUUUUAAUUUCUUGGAAGCAGAAACCUCAUAUCAGCUUCCUGUACAUGGUUGGGUGUAUGUCCAUAACCUGCAUGUAAAAUACAUUUAAUCUUGAAAAGUUUAAACAAAUGCUGUUUUGUUGGUGUUUUUCUCUUUCAUUUUUUUUGCGUUGCUUUGUUUUGCUUUAACCUUUUGCUUUUUGUGCAGGUAAAACAUCUAGUAUCUGAAGUCACACUUUAUAGGUCUGUUAUGAUAAAGGCUUGGUUAAGUUUAUUGAUAAAUGCAUAAAAUAUUUGAUGUAAUAACCCGAUUAGAGGUUUGUUAAUCUGUGGGGUCACAACUUUUAUUUACAGCUUCCCGAAUGAUCCAUGUUGUACAACUCUACUUCAUGAUUUUAUCUUUUUUGCAUUAGUUUUUCUUGAUCUUUUCUCCCUCUUGACAUGUGGGUCAGUGCUGAAUAACUCAAAAGGUAUUUCAAAAACAAACAUCUUGGGUUAAUUGUGAUGAUAUACAAUCAAACCCAGUCUAAUAUGAUCAUUUCCUUUUAU